AGUAUCCUACGGGACGCAGCAGUCGAGAAUCUUUCACAAUGGGGGAAACCCUGAUGCAGCAACGCCGCGUGAGUGAAGAAGUAUUUCGGUAUGUAAAGCUCUAUCAGCAGGGAAGAAGAUGACGGUACCUGAUUAAGAAGCCCCGGCUAACUACGUGCCAGCAGCCGCGGUAAUACGUAGGGGGCAAGCGUUAUCCGGAUUUACUGGGUGUAAAGGGAGCGCAGACGGCAGUGCAAGUCUGGAGUGAAAGCCCGGGGCCCAACCCCGGAACUGCUCUGGAAACUGUGCG
rnacentral:rRNA from 1 species